CCAGAGUUGCAGGCGUGUGAGCUUAUUUCUACCAAUCAGAAGCAUCCCAGUAUAACCUGGAUGCAGUGUGAGUGACAGAGGCGGCAAGGGUCACCCAUUGUGAUCCAGGCCUUCUGAGGAGCAUGGCAGAAGAGAAGCGCAGUCCUGGCAUUCAUCCCCUCAGCUCCUGGGGACUCAGCAGCCAGCGGAGGCAGCAUGAUUUUUCUGCUAGAACAGACUCAUGCCAGAAGUCCUGCCAGACUCGGCAAGAAAACAGAGAAACGAAAGGAAGCGGGAAGGACUGUAGGAGUCAGCUGACAGGGGCGAUGCAGUGGCCACGUGCUCCAAGUCAGGGGCUUCUGAACCCAGUUCUGUAUGCCCAGUGAAGCCACAUGGUGGCAUCCACAGAACAGAAGCUUUAGCGAUGGCUCCACAAAGGGCUUCUCUGGUGAAGCUAGUUUCCUGAAAGUGAUGGUUCAUGACAGUAUCAACACCAGCCAUUACUGUGCUU
rnacentral:lncRNA from 1 species